GAUCGAUUCCAUCUAUGGACGUGUCUCUUCCUCGCGCGAUUUCUUCCAGAUCAUCUUCUUUUCUACCUCGAUACAGAUAUAUAUAUUCUCCCGUUGAAACGGGACAAGUUAUAGAAUUUCGACCUCGAGAAGAGAUGCAGAAGUGGACCUGGAAAAGAUUGUUUGCGUUUGAUCAAUCGCGUAGAGGGAGAGAUACUCGUGAUUUUUUCCUUGGGAGAAGGAACUUUUUUCAUCGUGAUUGGUUGGUAACAGAAGGUGAAAUGUAUAAAGCGGUCGAUACGCGUGAAAGUUUAAAACAACGUAUGAAUGAAUUAACGAGAUCUCGAUAAUAGGGAUUUUCGUUGUCGAUAAAUUUUAUUUGUCAUAUCAAUCGAGCAAGGAUUCGAUGGGUAAAGUGAUCUUUUAUAAAAAUAAACAAGGAUAAUAAAACACAAAGAGAUAUUGUGUGAUAUGUUUGUAAAAUAUCGAAUUUUAAUUCGUUUAAUUCAUUAGAUUUUUAGGGGAGAAGAUCCGGCCAGACAUAAAUCUCAAUCAAUUUUACAUUUUAAAAUAACGUGGUUUUAAAUUUAAUCGAAAAACUGGUGGUAUAACGAUAAGGGUAGGGAAAAGAAUUCAAGUUAUAUUUUCGUAACGAAGUAUAAGCAAGAAACAGAGUGGAAACGAUAAUGCACAUCCUGCAUUAAUAAUGUUUUCCAAGCACGAGUUAUUUUAUUAAGUAGCAAUAACAAUGAUAUCUUUGUAUCUCUUCAUUUUUUAUCUGUUCCUUCUCUAAAUGUUAUGAUAAAUUUACAGAUGAUAAAAGCUUAUGAAGAGAUUCAUACAUAAACAGGUUAUACGGCAACGUGCGGAAAAUUUCAGUGUCGCGUUAAAAAUGCAACGUAUUUCAUCGAUAAAAUUGGAAAAUAUACACGAGAAAUAAAAAGCAUACAAAUAAUAAAAUACUGGAAUAAAAUUGGAAGGAAUCGGAUGAAAGUUUUCAUGAUUGAAAAAAACUUUUGAAAUUGGAAAAGUAAUCCAAGUUCAAAACGAUGAAUUUAAUCAAAAGGAAAGAGUUUUACAAGCAAACAAAGAAAAAAAAAGAUGUAAUGAUGAAUUUUUUUCAUGAUAAAAGUUAAAAUGUCACUAGAUUUAAUCCAUUCUUUUUUUAUUUUAUUCCUCCAAAAAUUAAAAUUAUUUAUGAAUAAUUUUCUAAAAAUAUUCAGUUUUAAAGCUUUCAAACGA